rnacentral:lncRNA from 1 species
UCAGUUGGAUGAACUGUUAGGAAAAACAGGGUGGUGAUCUCCAGCUCUGAUUCAGUCACCCCAGGGAUGUGGGAUUACUGGUACCUUUUAAAACCCAUUACAGGUUAAAGAAAACAUUCUUCGUAUUAGCAAGCUUUGGCCCACACCUGCACAGACGACCAGUUUUCUUUAUUAUGCCUGGAAUCAUUGGAUGUAACUUCUUUUCUACUUUGCCUGAAAGUCUGGAAAGUUUUUUGGACAAGGAAAAUACAAGGCUGUGUGAGAUCCUGUCUCAUAGUACUACCUGAGGAUCCUUCAAUACCUCUCCUGGGCAUAUAUCCAGAAGAUGUUCCAACCUGUAAGAAGGACACAUGCUCCACUAUGUUCAUAGCAGCCUUAUUUAUAAUAGCCAGAAGCUGGAAAGAACCCAUAUGUCCCUCAACAGAGGAAUGGAUACAGAAAAUGUGGUACAUUUACACAAUGGAAUACUAUUCAGCUAUUAAAAAGAAUGAAUUUAUGAAAUUCCUAGGCAAAUGGAUGGACCUGGAGGGCAUCAUCCUGAGUGAGGUAACGCAAUCACAAAAGAACUCACAUGUUAUGUACUCACUGAUAAGUGGAUUUUAAUAUUUUUUUUAACCUUUGGAGUGACUUUUUUCUUCAUCUUCCUUUCUGGUUUCAUUAUAUACUCAGUAUUAAUGUACACAUUUAAUCCUAGCACUCUGGAAUCAGUGGAUCCUCAUUAGUUUGAGAUCAAUCUGUUCGUGAGUUCCAGGGCAAGAGCUGCAUAGGGGUAACCUGUCUCCAAAUAAAGCAAAAAUAAAACAAUUUGAUCAUUUGAUCAACC